GGGUUGUGAGGUUAAGCGACUAAGCGUACACGGUGGAUGCCCUGGCAGUCAGAGGCGAUGAAGGACGUGCUAAUCUGCGAUAAGCGUCGGUAAGGUGAUAUGAACCGUUAUAACCGGCGAUUUCCGAAUGGGGAAACCCAGUGUGUUUCGACACACUAUCAUUAACUGAAUCCAUAGGUUAAUGAGGCGAACCGGGGGAACUGAAACAUCUAAGUACCCCGAGGAAAAGAAAUCAACCGAGAUUCCCCCAGUAGCGGCGAGCGAACGGGGAGCAGCCCAGAGCCUGAAUCAGUGUGUGUGUUAGUGGAAGCGUCUGGAAAGGCGCGCGAUACAGGGUGACAGCCCCGUACACAAAAAUGCACAUACUGUGAGCUCGAUGAGUAGGGCGGGACACGUGGUAUCCUGUCUGAAUAUGGGGGGACCAUCCUCCAAGGCUAAAUACUCCUGACUGACCGAUAGUGAACCAGUACCGUGAGGGAAAGGCGAAAAGAACCCCGGCGAGGGGAGUGAAAAAGAACCUGAAACCGUGUACGUACAAGCAGUGGGAGCACGCUUAGGCGUGUGACUGCGUACCUUUUGUAUAAUGGGUCAGCGACUUAUAUUCUGUAGCAAGGUUAACCGAAUAGGGGAGCCGAAGGGAAACCGAGUCUUAACUGGGCGUUAAGUUGCAGGGUAUAGACCCGAAACCCGGUGAUCUAGCCAUGGGCAGGUUGAAGGUUGGGUAACACUAACUGGAGGACCGAACCGACUAAUGUUGAAAAAUUAGCGGAUGACUUGUGGCUGGGGGUGAAAGGCCAAUCAAACCGGGAGAUAGCUGGUUCUCCCCGAAAGCUAUUUAGGUAGCGCCUCGUGAAUUCAUCUCCGGGGGUAGAGCACUGUUUCGGCAAGGGGGUCAUCCCGACUUACCAACCCGAUGCAAACUGCGAAUACCGGAGAAUGUUAUCACGGGAGACACACGGCGGGUGCUAACGUCCGUCGUGAAGAGGGAAACAACCCAGACCGCCAGCUAAGGUCCCAAAGUCAUGGUUAAGUGGGAAACGAUGUGGGAAGGCCCAGACAGCCAGGAUGUUGGCUUAGAAGCAGCCAUCAUUUAAAGAAAGCGUAAUAGCUCACUGGUCGAGUCGGCCUGCGCGGAAGAUGUAACGGGGCUAAACCAUGCACCGAAGCUGCGGCAGCGACGCUUAUGCGUUGUUGGGUAGGGGAGCGUUCUGUAAGCCUGCGAAGGUGUGCUGUGAGGCAUGCUGGAGGUAUCAGAAGUGCGAAUGCUGACAUAAGUAACGAUAAAGCGGGUGAAAAGCCCGCUCGCCGGAAGACCAAGGGUUCCUGUCCAACGUUAAUCGGGGCAGGGUGAGUCGACCCCUAAGGCGAGGCCGAAAGGCGUAGUCGAUGGGAAACAGGUUAAUAUUCCUGUACUUGGUGUUACUGCGAAGGGGGGACGGAGAAGGCUAUGUUGGCCGGGCGACGGUUGUCCCGGUUUAAGCGUGUAGGCUGGUUUUCCAGGCAAAUCCGGAAAAUCAAGGCUGAGGCGUGAUGACGAGGCACUACGGUGCUGAAGCAACAAAUGCCCUGCUUCCAGGAAAAGCCUCUAAGCAUCAGGUAACAUCAAAUCGUACCCCAAACCGACACAGGUGGUCAGGUAGAGAAUACCAAGGCGCUUGAGAGAACUCGGGUGAAGGAACUAGGCAAAAUGGUGCCGUAACUUCGGGAGAAGGCACGCUGAUAUGUAGGUGAAGUCCCUCGCGGAUGGAGCUGAAAUCAGUCGAAGAUACCAGCUGGCUGCAACUGUUUAUUAAAAACACAGCACUGUGCAAACACGAAAGUGGACGUAUACGGUGUGACGCCUGCCCGGUGCCGGAAGGUUAAUUGAUGGGGUUAGCGCAAGCGAAGCUCUUGAUCGAAGCCCCGGUAAACGGCGGCCGUAACUAUAACGGUCCUAAGGUAGCGAAAUUCCUUGUCGGGUAAGUUCCGACCUGCACGAAUGGCGUAAUGAUGGCCAGGCUGUCUCCACCCGAGACUCAGUGAAAUUGAACUCGCUGUGAAGAUGCAGUGUACCCGCGGCAAGACGGAAAGACCCCGUGAACCUUUACUAUAGCUUGACACUGAACAUUGAGCCUUGAUGUGUAGGAUAGGUGGGAGGCUUUGAAGUGUGGACGCCAGUCUGCAUGGAGCCGACCUUGAAAUACCACCCUUUAAUGUUUGAUGUUCUAACGUGGACCCGUAAUCCGGGUUGCGGACAGUGUCUGGUGGGUAGUUUGACUGGGGCGGUCUCCUCCUAAAGAGUAACGGAGGAGCACGAAGGUUGGCUAAUCCUGGUCGGACAUCAGGAGGUUAGUGCAAUGGCAUAAGCCAGCUUGACUGCGAGCGUGACGGCGCGAGCAGGUGCGAAAGCAGGUCAUAGUGAUCCGGUGGUUCUGAAUGGAAGGGCCAUCGCUCAACGGAUAAAAGGUACUCCGGGGAUAACAGGCUGAUACCGCCCAAGAGUUCAUAUCGACGGCGGUGUUUGGCACCUCGAUGUCGGCUCAUCACAUCCUGGGGCUGAAGUAGGUCCCAAGGGUAUGGCUGUUCGCCAUUUAAAGUGGUACGCGAGCUGGGUUUAGAACGUCGUGAGACAGUUCGGUCCCUAUCUGCCGUGGGCGCUGGAGAACUGAGGGGGGCUGCUCCUAGUACGAGAGGACCGGAGUGGACGCAUCACUGGUGUUCGGGUUGUCAUGCCAAUGGCACUGCCCGGUAGCUAAAUGCGGAAGAGAUAAGUGCUGAAAGCAUCUAAGCACGAAACUUGCCCCGAGAUGAGUUCUCCCUGACUCCUUGAGAGUCCUGAAGGAACGUUGAAGACGACGACGUUGAUAGGCCGGGUGUGUAAGCGCAGCGAUGCGUUGAGCUAACCGGUACUAAUGAACCGUGAGGCUUAACCUUACAACGCCGAAG
rnacentral:rRNA from 1 species